rfam:Brachypodium distachyon strain Bd21 chromosome 3, whole genome shotgun sequence.
UGAGUACUCCCUCCGUCCCAUAUUAAGUGUCAAAUAUCACAUGUAUCUAUACGUUUUUUAGCUAUAGAUACAUCCAUGUUUGGGAGAAUUUGAGACACUUAAUAUGGGACGGAGGGAGUAUAAC